ensembl:lncRNA
AACGAUGCAUUUCACUUUAUUGACAAAACAUCACAGUUGAUAAUGGAAAUGAUCGGUGACAGAAAGCUUCCGGGGAAAACCAAAUAGGUGCAACAGAAAGGAAAAUGUGUAACUUACACAAUAUCUCGGCUCCUUGUUUUUCUACCAAGUGGUUUUUAGGCUUGAUCUAUAGUUCUGGGGACUGUAGGGCUGAAGAGCUGAGAAUUUAUUCAAGACAGAUGAAUCCAAAUGCAAACCCAUUCAGCCUAAUCUACACAUAGAGGCCCCAGUAGAACUCAGAACUAAUACAAACAGAUCAUUGAAACAUUUUGUGAAGUCUGGACACAGGAUAUAAUGUCUUACAAAAAAACUAAAAUAAUAGUUUUACAUAGAUAUUUUACGAAAGCAUAUUCAGUCUAGGACACUUGUACAAUAAAACAACUAUAUAUUAAAUGUUAUUCGUACUCAAAAAACCAGAGCAGCUUAUAUCAAGUAUAGGAUCUUAGUCAUCCUGAACACAUUCAUUGGCAUGGCAACAAAAACUAGUGAAACGAAGGAAGAGUACCAAAACUAAAAUAUGUACACAGCUCGUUGUCACCCCCUAGUGGUAGAAGCAGGCAGCACCUGCCCGUCUCUGUAGUCAUUAAGGCACUAAACAUCAAAAGACUGAAGACACGUAGACAUGUGCUGUGUAUGAAAGUAUAGUAGUGUGUUACUGUAGCAUAGAGGUUCUCUCACUUGACCAAGAAACACAAUCUCAGUGAUCUUUCAUUACAAUACACAGGCGUUUCAGAUUAGCCCAGAUUGUACAAACAACAGCACACAAAGUGAUAUCAGGACACGUGAUGACGCAGACUGCAUUCAAGGCUUUAAACAUCAGGUGGACAGCCUACCACAAAGGGAGAUAUCGGAUUGGAUAUCCCUCCCUUUCAGCCCACAUUGACUUUCCAUUACCUACCACACGUACAGUAUAGUAAAGUUACCGUUGAGUAGAGUAGUGACUGGAUUACCGUCUGGGUAACAAUUGUCUGUAUGUAGGAACUCUUGCAAGAGGUGGCGAUCAAAGCAUGACAGAAUGGGCCAACUGUUGACUCUUGACAUGUACCGUAUUACCAGGUGAAAUUGCCCAAAAUGAAUUCCCACAACGUUGAAGGUUUUAAACUACCCAAAUAAAAUUCCAGCAAUUCAAAAUACAAAUAAUAAAUGUUUUGCAAAAAUGUAUUCUGCUAAAAUGUGUUUCUCUGUUAAAAGACUGCAUAAUAAUUGUAUCCUGAGAUUAUGAGGGAGAAAUGAUAAAAGGGGACAUGCUGUCAGUUCAUGGCUAAUGUUAAAGGUGGAAAAGUCUUGCAUCCUCCUCAUUGUAUCCCUAUCAAUUGUGCCUUCGGAGACAGGUAUGAAACAAUAUAUAUAUUUCCAUGAACCAUACUCUUCUUUGAUGUAGCUGCUGGUCAACCGCGUAGAUUGACCAGACAUUUGUUGUGUUGUAAAGUGGAAUCCAUCCUUUUGAAUUUCUUUGAGAGUUUUUCAGUGGUAAUGUUAACGGCUUAUGGCUUCCAUCUCUGACCCCAGACUCUUCUGCGUGACUCCCUGGACUGCAAAGAGUGUGACCCAUGCUCUCUUUGCAAAGAGCUCGUCGUCACUGAAACAGCAUCGGACAUCGGACAUCAGUUGGCAAGCGAUCGCAUGCCUGCGAUUGGGCUGACUUGUGGUGUUCUCCCAAACAGUGGUAGGCUAGCUUAAAGACAGCAUGCUGGAGGCUGUGGGCAACUCAAAUUGUCAACAGUUGAUAACGCUACUAAGUCAGGAGGGAGAGUAGAAUGUGAGAGCCACGACCCUCGCUGUUAUCCUGGGAUGUCCGUGGGGAAAAAGGAUGGGGUUAGGUCCCCUCUCUCCUUACCGUGUUCAGCGUCUGACCUCAGCUUCUGAGAAGUUUGACCUCUGGAUCCUGCAAGAAGAGAUCAUUUGAAAGCUCAAUUAAUAAUGUGACACUUAUACUUC